UACGGAGGGGGCGAGCGUUAUUCGGAAUUAUUGGGCGUAAAGGGCGCGUAGGCGGCCCGGUAAGUCAAAGGUGAAAUCCCUCGGCUCAACUGAGGAACUGCCUUUGAAACUGUCGGGCUUGAGGCCGGGAGGGGGUAGCGGAAUUCCCAGUGUAGCGGUGAAAUGCGUAGAUAUUGGGAGGAACACCGGUGGCGAAGGCGGCUCUCUGGACCGAUACUGACGCUGAGGCGCGAAAGCGUGGGGAGCAAACAGG
rnacentral:rRNA from 1 species